rnacentral:misc_RNA from 1 species
GAUGAAGAACGUAGCGAAAUGCGAUAAGUAGUGUGAAUUGCAGAAUUCAGUGAAUCAUCGAAUCUUUGAACGCACAUUUCGCCCCUUGGUAUUCCAUGGGGCAUGCCUGUUCGAGCGUCAUUUGUACCCUCAAGCUUUGCUUGGUGUUGGGCGUCUUGUCUUGUAUUAGACUCGCCUUAAAGUCAUUGGCAGCCAGUGUUUUUGGUAGUAAGCGCAGCACAUUUUGCGUCUUAGUCCUUGAAUCGUGGCAUCCAUGAAGCCUUUUUUCACUUUUGACCUCGGAUCAGGUAGGGAUACCCGCUGAACUUAAGCAUAUCAAUAAGCGGAGGA